rnacentral:rRNA from 1 species
UACAGAGGAGCCAAGCGUUGUCCGGAUUGACUGGGCGUAAAGCGCACGCAGGCGGUUGCGCGCGUGGGGUGUGAAAUCUGGCCGCUUAACGGCCAGGCGCCAUCCCAUACGGCGCGACUGGAGUGAUGCAGAGGUCGAUGGAAUUGCCGGUGUAGUGGUGAAAUGCGUAGAGAUCGGCAGGAACACCCAGGGGGGAAACCAGUCGACUGGGCAUCUACUGACGCUGAGGUGCGAGAGCGUGGGGAGCGAAUCGG